CGCAUCUCCCUCAGAUUCCCGAAUUCCUGGUGUUUCCCGAAUUCCUGGUGUUUCCCAGGAAUUCCCGCACGGCGUGGGCGCGGGACCCUCUGCCGCCGCCACCGCCACUCCCUGCGGGUUUUUAAGGGGAAGGCAUAGAGAAUAUCGGGAGAAAGGCAGAACUUGGAGCCUGGAGAACAAAGUGAGUGGGUCUUUCCAGCUGCCUAGGAAAAAGUGAAGAUGAGGAAUGUACACCAUCCAGCACAGGAGAUAAGAUUCAGAUUUCACCCUCCUUGGGCCAGGAAACACUGGGAGCUGAUAAAUCCAAGGAAAUACUCAAAACUUCCUUAUCAGAGGAGUGGCAUUGCCUUUGUCUGUCUGAGCAGGGUGAGGCCCUGCUGAUGUCCCAAAGCUGGAGGCAGGACACAGGAAUUCCAGGUUUCUUGUGGCCUGGAACAGCUUGCAGAGAGGUGAGCUGCUCUCCUCCACUGCUCCAAAAUCCACCCAUUGAUGCUCAGACUGCAGAUAUGCUUUGCUGUCCCUGGAAUUCCUUUGUUCAGAGCUGACUGUUCAUCUUUACUCCUGGUUAUUUAUGGUUUACCUGAUUUUGGCUGAGCUGAGUUCAGGGCUGAGUAAUUUUCCAGCAACUUUGUUCAUGAUGAACACUUCACUAA